rnacentral:rRNA from 1 species
UUGACCUCAAAUCGGGUGAGACUACCCGCUGAACUUAAGCAUAUCAAUAAGCGGAGGAAAAGAAACUAACAAGGAUUCCCCUAGUAACUGCGAGUGAAGCGGGAAAAGCUCAAAUUUAAAAUCUGGUGGCCUUUGGUCAUCCGAGUUGUAAUUUAGAGAAGCGUCUUCCGCGCUGGACCGUGCACAAGUCUCCUGGAACGGAGCGUCAUAGAGGGUGAGAAUCCCGUCUUUGGCACGGACAUGCCAGGGCUUUUGUGAUGCGCUCUCGAAGAGUCGAGUUGUUUGGGAAUGCAGCUCAAAAUGGGUGGUGAACUCCAUCUAAAGCUAAAUAUUGGCGAGAGACCGAUAGCGAACAAGUACCGUGAGGGAAAGAUGAAAAGCACUUUGGAAAGAGAGUGAAACAGUACGUGAAAUUGUUGAAAGGGAAACGCUUGAAGUCAGUCGCGUCGACCGAGACUCAGCCUUGCCUUGGCUUGGUGUACUUCUCGGCUGACGGGUCAGCAUCAAUUUUGCCCCUUGGAUAAUGGCGAGGGAAAUGUGACACCUUUACGGUGUGUUAUAGUCUCUUGUCGCAUGCAAGGGUUGGGAUUGAGGAACUCAGCACGCGCCUUUGGGUGUCGGGGUAUUCGCCCACGAUACGUGCUUAGGAUGUUGGCGUAAUGGCUUUAAACGACCCGUC